rnacentral:rRNA from 1 species
GACGUCCCUACGUUCGGAUUGUAGGCUGAAACUACGCCUACAUGAAGCUGGAAUUGCUAGUAAUCACAGGUCAGCAUACUGUGGUGAAUACGUUCCCGGGCCUUGUACACACCGCCCGUCACACCAUGAGAGUUGAGAAUACCCGAAGCCCAUGUCAAAGUGGUCGAAGGUAGGCUUGAUGAUUGGGGUGAAGUCGUAACAAGGUAAC